GAUGAACGCUGGCGGCGUGCCUAAUACAUGCAAGUCGAGCGAACAGACGAGGAGCUUGCUCCUCUGACGUUAGCGGCGGACGGGUGAGUAACACGUGGAUAACCUACCUAUAAGACUGGGAUAACUUCGGGAAACCGGAGCUAAUACCGGAUAAUAUAUUUAACCGCAUGGUUCAAUAGUGAAAGACGGUUUUGCUGUCACUUAUCGAUUGAUCCGCGCCGCAUUAGCUAGUUGGUAAGGUAACGGCUUACCAAGGCAACGAGGCGUAGCCGACCUGAGAGGGGGAUCGGCCACACUGGAACGGAGGCACGGUCCAGACUCCUACGGGAGGCAGCAGUAGCGAAUCUUCCGCAAUGGGCGAAAGCCUGACGGAGCAACGCCGCGUGAGUGAUGAAGGUCUUCGGAUCGUAAAACUCUGUUAGUAGGGAAGAACAAAUGUGUAAGUAACUAUGCACGUCUUGACGGUACCUAAUCAGAAAGCCACGGCUAACUACGUG
rnacentral:rRNA from 1 species